UACGAAGGGUGCAAGCGUUACUCGGAAUUACUGGGCGUAAAGCGUGCGUAGGUGGUGAGUUAAGUCUGUCGUGAAAGCCCCGGGCUCAACCUGGGAAUGGCGAUGGAUACUGGCUCGCUAGAGUGCGGUAGAGGGUGGUGGAAUUCCCGGUGUAGCAGUGAAAUGCGUAGAGAUCGGGAGGAACAUCAGUUGCGAAGGCGGCCCCCAAGCCUGAACCUGACGCUGAAGCGCGACAGCGUGGGGAGCAAACGGG
rnacentral:rRNA from 1 species